CCAUUGUGCAUUUGGAGCCAAAUCAAUGAAACCCGAAUAAUUUUUUUUGACAAAUGUAAAUAUAAAACAAUGCACUUGUUCUGAUGUAUUCAUAUAUAUUUGAGCUCUCUGACAGUAGAUGGCAGCAGUGAGCCGAGUUUGAAGUUCACCCACACAAGGCACCAAAUAUUGUGCAUAUCUGUUACCUGAGCCAAUGUGCAGCUACAGAGAUGGUAUGACAGGGCACGUACGGAAAGGAUUCGUGUGAGGAAAUAAACUAUUUAUCUGCAGCCACAUACUUUAAGAGACACAAUUUUUGCACGAAGCGCUUUUGCAGGUGCUUGACCAUGGGUCGGAGUGUCCACCAUAGAGUAAGGCUAUUCACUCUGCUUUGUGCUGGUUCAUUGGCUGGUCAUCGGUUUUUGAAGUGAGGCAUUACUAACGGUAAAAUGCAGUGGAACCUGAGUGUGGUUUUACUCAUGUGGAUAAUGAUAAUCAUUGCCCAAGUGGAAAAAGUACAUCAAAGGUGGGAUUUGCAGAGGACACACAAAAUUAAAUGAGUGACAGUGGCUAUAUGUAUUAAAACAAAUAAUGGUUUGAUAGAAGCAGUUGCCUAGUCUCAAGAAGUUUGAGAGUCAGGCGCGGGUGGGGGUGCGGCGCGCACAGAAGCGCUGAGAAAGAUAAGCAGAGGAAAGCGCGUUUGUCGUGAGAGCCAAAAUGGCAGUUCCCUGAUCGCACCGCAGUGCAAGAUGCACUGCUCAGCUGUCACUACUCUCCCCGAUGAUUCACGUCUCCGGAGGCUUUGAGCGCGAUCGUUUAAUGGAUUUUCGAUGGCGAAAUUGGACAGGGAAAUUGGCUAGCGCGGAACAUCUGGCGAGAGGGAUAUAAAACCCAUAUGUUCGAACUUAAUGUGGCAGGUUCACAUGAGUCAAAUUAGCGUGACAGCGAAAACGCCAGAUCGAUGCUAACUUUUAACCAGUUUUUUUCUUCUUGAAUUGAAGGCUCUGCAAGAUGUAAAUGCAAGAAUCCUAGUGAUUUUGAGGCAAGUAGGCUAUUUUUUUUACUCUGAAGUGGCAUAAUUCAGCUGAAAAUGAUGCGUACCCAAAACGUUUUUCUAUCAUUCCGUUUCUCAGCCUAUUUGCUCACACAGUAGGUAAACUUUGCAACGCAGCCAAUAAAGAUUAAACAGCACCUGUCACUAAAGAUACGGUUGAAAUAUUGAGAUCCUGCUCUAUUUCUUCAUAAGGAUUUAUCUGUGUGUGCGUUUCACAUUGGGAACGGAAAUCUUCGAGUGUGUCAGUGCAUUAUCCGGUGAUGUGAAAGCCGCAGUAAAGCCAGUAUCUGCCGUUUGGCUAAUAGAAAGGACGCAGAUACAUUCAGCAUGGCCUGGCAUAGGUCCCAUCCCAACGUUUUGAAUAAUUAAGAGGAUCUGACAAAAGUUGGAAAAAUUAUUUGGACUUAUUCGGAUAUUUUUCACAAAUAUUUUGAUGACUUGAAAUCCUCUGAAUGUUGUUUUUUCGUUGCGGUAAUUUGUGCGUGGAAAAUCGGCUAAGUCAUGAAUCACAUAUAAUUGGAUCCACUCGGAUUUCUCGAGGUUAAUCAAACCGUCACGGUCCUCAAGUUAAGGAUGAGGCGCGUGUUGCACGCUUUGCAGCUGGAGACUCCCGGAAGGAAGAGUAUCAUUUUGACAGCGCGUGUCCAGUGAGAGAAAAGCGCCUACCGGAGACACUCGAGACGAACUUAAAUGAUUUUACUUUUAUCUUGAAUACUGGUGAUUACAAAACACAGAAAACUGAGAGAUCAGUCGGCAUAUAUGCUUACCAUUUAGGGACUGCAUGGAUAAGGAAGACAAGGAUCAAUCCCCUACACUGCGCUUUUGAGUUGUGCUGAAGUUCACCAUGGGGUGAGGAGGAGAAGAACGUGGUCAGUUUUAGGAGAGGGGUGAGUGACCGAGAACAUGGAUUGUUUGUUACUUCAAUUUACUUCAAUUUUUUGCGAUUUUUCACAGCUGGUUUCUCCCCUAACCAUUUGAUUUCCGUGGUCUGCUGAAUGGAUGCGUUUUUUAACCUGUGGUUUCAUUUGUUAUUUUUCUCCAGUUGAUGUUGAAUUACACUUGAUUUAUCUUAUAUUGGUACCACCCAGUGCACUGCAAAUGUCAACAUAAGGCAGGUAACAUUUUAUAUAGGGUGUUUGGCGCGCUUUCUGAUUUUUUUUCUUAUUCUUGUUCACUUAACUCUGGACUUCCAUCUGAUUGAUGGUGCAGACUCUAUUGCAUCAGAUGCCGUCUUGUAAAAUGGAGGAACAUGAAGGAUUGCUCUGAAAACACCCACGAUUUUGCCCGAUUGAGCCACUGCCGUACAUUUUUCAUCACACACUUGUGUGUCAAGGUGACUAGCGUGCAGGUUUCAGGGCUACUGGAUAUCUAUAAAGGGUCCAUUAAGCUCAACUAGUAUGCAAGAAGAGGCAUUUUACCCUACUUCCUUAUUCUCACUGCCAAUCCAUUAUUCUGCCUUCUAGGGGGAUAUAUUUUUAGAUUAUUUAAAAAAAAUUCACUGGGUAGAUAUAGGAUGCACCAUGUUGUUCAUAGUUCCACUGCAAGCAGAACCCUGAAUGUUACCCGGUAACAGGUUUUGAGACUGACACAAAAUUAGGCCUACUUACCAACUGACUGAGUCUCGUCAAACAGGUGCCAGCUCCACAUUCACUAUAAUCUGAAGAGGGUCUAACUGCUAACUCUAAAGUGUGACUUUAUAUUUCAAGUCAGAGCAGAGCUAACAGUACUGGGGGAGAACAGCAUUACACUCACAUUCUCCCACGUUCAACUGUUCUUUAGACCCUCUCCAUAUCCCCCCCCACUGGUCUGCUCAAGUGGGGGGGGGGCUUAACCCCCCAGGGUGGUCACCAAGGCUGAUCCCCUACCAACGGGGGUCGUGACCAUGGAAACGAGCCCGGAGAGUCCGAAUCGUGCGGUGGAGUACCUGCUGGAGCUGAACAACAUCAUCGAGAGCCAGGCCAAGCUCCUGGAGAGCCAGCGCCGCCGCAUCGAGGAGCUCGAGACCCAGCUGGACCGGGUCAACCAGGAGAACACGGGCCUGCGCUUGGACCAACACAACUCCUGUCCCGAGCCAACGCCGGUCCCCAUCCAGAACCACACCGACCAGAGCCCAACCCAGCCCUCGUCCCUGCCCCUCAACCCCUCCUCGGGCACGGGCACUGGUGCUGGCCCUCUCCACAACAGCAACAAUGGCACCGGCAGCACUGCCACCAGCCCGUCCUCCUCAACGGCGCCACCUGCUGGGCUGAACCGCGAGCGGCGGAACCACACGCGUCUGACCCGUGGGCUCUCAUGCGGGGCGGCGCCGGUCGAAAGGGAGCGGACUGGACGACUGGAACGGAUCGACAGCAGCGGAACCAACACGACCCCCGCGCCACGCAGACAGCUACACUCUUACUCAAGCUGUUCUACUCUCACCAAUUCCACCACCAACUCCUUCUUCAGUUCCAGUCUGACAGUUGUUAGCCAUUCCAGCCACCAUCAGUUUUGCUGUCCCUCCAGGCUGCGCAAGCCCAAGCCGUCUAGCACCCUCCCUAAGGCCAAGGAACAGGCCAGAGAAGAGGAGGCGACUGACUCAUCUCCUCAUCAAUUCUGUUGCCCUGCCUCAAAUUGCAGUAGCCCCUCCUCUAGGUAACCUGUGAGUUGAUUGGUCGGUUGUAACUGUCAAUCAACAAACAUGAGUGGCUGAUCACUGAGAUGACCGGUGCAGUGAUAGGUCUGGGUAAAAGGCUUGGGAAGCCAGCUGUCAACAGGAAGGACAAAGCAUAAACACUGCCCCUGACUCCUUCACCAAACCACAGGGAGAAAGCAAGUUUUGCUCAACAUGCGUUGUGUUUGGUUGAAGACUUAUUGGGCCGUAGUGCCAUCAGCCAUCAGACUGACAGAAGGGAAAAGCCUUGACCAGGACACUCAAAGGAAACUCUUAAACGAUCAUUUAUUUACGAUCAAAUAUUGUAUGUCGGAUCUGUUUACCGUGAUGUUUUCACUGCAUGCCUGUUAAAGUAGCCACCAUGACAAGCACAUGAAUCUGUGUCUGAAAAUGUUACACUUUUUUAACGGGGUAAACACUGCACGCUGGUGGGUAUACACACACACACACACACACACACACACACACAGACACACAGACACACACACACACACACACACACACACACACACACACACACACACACACAGCACAGGUGGCUUGACACUUUCACUGUUCAAUGUGUGUUUUUGCCAGUGAUGUGGUGUCACAUACAUCAACAACAGUCUGCUGAGAGACAAAAAAUAAUCAACAGUGUAAUCAAACACUUUACAUGAGUCAUUUGGUUUUUGUGUGUGCGUGCAAGCGCGCGUGUGUGUGUGUUAGUAGUUGUUAGUUGUUGUAAGUUAGUAGUUAUUCAUGAUUGCAUAAUGGAUAGAAUCAGAUUCACUGUUUGGUGUAUGUAUUUAUUUACACUUUCAUGUGUAUGAGUCUCACGUACUGGAUCUUCGAAAAGGAUUCUCUAGAAAAAUGAAAACUUUUUCUUGCUCACUCUCUCUCUCUCUGUCUCUCUCUUUCUCUUUCUCUUUCUAUUUCUCUUUCUCUCUCUCUCUCUCUCUCCACCUAUCUCUUUGAAGCACAGAUACUUAAGUCAGAGAUAUACUGUGAUAGAAUGCUAUAAGGAAAUGAAAAAAAAAAAAUGCUUGAUUUUAAUUUAAUGCUUGAUUUGGCAGUAAUGAAUAACUGAAGGGAAUUUGACAUCUUCCUUUUAACAUACUGUAAUUAAUCUUAAAUUGCCAUUUUUUUGAGGAACGUUUUGUGGAAACAAAUGCUCUAUGCUGAUUUCCUGAAUAAUACAACAUUGUUUCACGAGGCUAGUGUCCGUUUGUUUUAUGCUGUCAACGUGUCUUCAUCAGUCCAGUGUUUCGCAUUUUAGGAAUAUAACUAUAAAACUAUAACUGGUGUUGAUUAAGUACUGAUGGUAUUUUCUUUCGUUUUCUGUAAAACUAUGGACAUGUAAACUCUCACCUUAUAUGAACUUCACAACUCUGAACAUUUGUAUUUCCCGCUUGUUUCCACUAGGGGGCUAAGACCCAACUACACAAAAUGAAACUGAGGACAAAAACACAAACACACACACACACACACACACAAAUACACACAGACACACACACAUAUAUAUAUAUAUACACACACACACACAUAUAUAUAUUUAUAUAUUGUUUGUGUGUGUGUGUGUGUAUGUAUACAUACACUCACAUGUAUUCUCUUCAACUCCAGAGGGAAGUAAACAUAAUUGGAAUUGUACUAAACCCACGUGACAUUAUAAGAGAACUCCACUGGAGUAUUUUAAUGAACAGAUCGUUAAUUAAAGCACUGAUAAGGACCCUUUGUCUUUUCCAUUGUUCACUUCAUGUCUUUCUUUCUCUGAUAAAAAGACAUUUGAAACAUUCAAGGUUGCACUGCAAGGUCUGCAUAAUCUUAGAAACAUUUUAGAUG
ensembl:lncRNA